rnacentral:sRNA from 1 species
CCCCGGCCUCACGGCCGGGGCUACGCACUGCCGGCCCGUCGGGCCU